GGGAGUAACUACUGGAAACGGUAGCUAAUACCGCAUAACGUCGCAAGACCAAAGUGGGGGACCUUCGGGCCUCAUGCCAUCAGAUGUGCCCAGAUGGGAUUAGCUAGUAGGUGGGGUAAUGGCUCACCUAGGCGACGAUCCCUAGCUGGCCUGAGAGGAUGACCAGCCACACUGGAACUGAGACACGGUCCAG
rnacentral:rRNA from 1 species